rnacentral:rRNA from 1 species
UACGUAGGGUGCAAGCGUUAAUCGGAAUUACUGGGCGUAAAGCGUGCGCAGGCGGUUUUGUAAGACCGAUGUGAAAUCCCCGGGCUUAACCUGGGAACUGCAUUGGUGACUGCAAGGCUUGAGUGUGUCAGAGGGAGGUGGAAUUCCGCGUGUAGCAGUGAAAUGCGUAGAUAUGCGGAGGAACACCGAUGGCGAAGGCAGCCUCCUGGGAUAACGACUGACGCUCAUGCACGAAAGCGUGGGGAGCAAACAGG